rnacentral:rRNA from 1 species
GGGUGAUCUGCCCUGCACUUUGGGAUAAGCCUGGGAAACUGGGUCUAAUACCGAAUAGGAUCACUGGCUUCAUGGUCGGUGGUGGAAAGCUUUUGCGGUGUGGGAUGGGCCCGCGGCCUAUCAGCUUGUUGGUGGGGUAAUGGCCUACCAAGGCGACGACGGGUAGCCGGCCUGAGAGGGUGACCGGCCACACUGGGACUGAGAUACGGCCCAGACUCCUACGGGAGGCAGCAGUGGGGAAUAUUGCACAAUGGGCGCAAGCCUGAUGCAGCGACGCCGCGUGAGGGAUGACGGCCUUCGGGUUGUAAACCUCUUUCAGCACAGACGAAGCGCAAGUGACGGUAUGUGCAGAAGAAGGACCGGCCAACUACGUGCCAGCAGCCGCGGUAAUACGUAGGGUCCGAGCGUUGUCCGGAAUUACUGGGCGUAAAGAGCUCGUAGGUGGUUUGUCGCGUUGUUCGUGAAAACUCACAGCUUAACUGUGGGCGUGCGGGCGAUACGGGCAGACUGGAGUACUGCAGGGAGACUGA